CUGGCCCUCUCUGCCCUUCUGU
rnacentral:miRNA from 1 species